rnacentral:rRNA from 1 species
GAUGAACGCUGGCGGCGUGCCUAACACAUGCAAGUCGAACGAAGCUUGACGAAUGAUUUUUUCGGAAUGAAUUCUGAUAUGACUUAGUGGCGGACGGGUGAGUAACACGUGAGCAACCUGCCUUUCAGAGGGGGACAACAGUUGGAAACGACUGCUAAUACCGCAUGACACAUUGAGGGGGCAUCCCUUUGAUGUCAAAGAUUUAUCGCUGAAAGAUGGCCUCGCGUCCCAUUAGCUAGUUGGUGAGGUAACGGCCCACCAAGGCGACGAUGGGUAGCCGGACUGAGAGGUUGACCGGCCACAUUGGGACUGAGAUACGGCCCAG